UUCCCAGGCUGGGAGUAUGCAGUGUUCAGUUUGAAUUUUUGAAAGAAAGGGUUGAGAGUACAUGAGGCUUAUCUUGAUGAACUAAUAAUCCUUCUAUAACAAUACCCGUCUAACUGAUUUAAAGGACAUAUGUUAGUAAUGAUUACAACUUCCUUUUAAACACAGGAGAAUUGAAACAUAUUUGUAAGUCAAUGACAGCACCCUGUUACAGGUAGCUGGGCACUAAGUUGUAUUGUGAUGAAUUUAUAUCUCAUCUAAUGAACUUCGUUAAGUGUGAGCCUCAGCUCCAAGCUCUUUCUCAGAAUACACGUAGUCCUGCUUCCUGUUUGCGGAACUUGGAAUAGGGCGGAGUGGUCUUAGAAAGAAGCUGCUUUGUUCCAGUUGAAAUGGAGCCAUCACGCAACGGCUGUGAAAGGCAUCGCGGAGGGAAAAAGAUAGAAGUAAAUUCUAGCCCAGAGAAAGAUAUCGUGGCUUAGAAUUAGGUUAAAAAAAAGAAGAAAAAAGAAAGGAAAAAAGAAAUAAAAGGAGAGAGAUC